AUGGCAUCCCCGGAAGGAUCAAACUGGGUAUUCGACUGCCCUCUCAUGGACGACCUUGCUGCCGCCGACUUCGCCGCGGCAUCCACAGGAGGCUUCUACUGGACCCCGCCGAUGCAGCCGCAGAUGCACACUCUUGCGCAGGCCGUCUCCGCCACCCCGGCUCCCAAUCCCUGUGCUGAAAUCAAUAGCUCUGUUUCGGUGGACUGGGACCAUGCCAAAGGACAACCGAAAAAUAAACGUCCUAGGUCAGAAACUGGUGCUCAACCUAGCUCCAAAGCAUGCAGGGAGAAAGUGAGAAGGGACAAGCUAAACGAGAGGUUCUUGGAAUUGGGUGCUGUCUUGGAUCCGGGGAAAACACCUAAAAUCGACAAAUGUGCUAUAUUAAAUGAUGCUAUCCGUGCAGUAACUGAAUUGCGUAGUGAGGCAGAGAAGUUGAAGGAUUCAAACGACUCUCUCCAAGAGAAGAUUAGAGAGCUAAAGGCUGAGAAGAAUGAGCUGCGAGAUGAGAAGCAAAAGUUGAAGGCGGAGAAAGAGAGCCUGGAGCAGCAGAUUAAGUUCAUGAAUGCCCGUCAGAGCCUCGUACCACACCCUUCUGUCAUCCCAGCUGCUGCAUUCGCUGCCGCCCAAGGCCAAGCGGCAGGGCACAAGCUGAUGAUGCCUGUAAUGAGCUACCCAGGAUUUCCCAUGUGGCAGUUCAUGCCGCCUUCAGAUGUUGAUACCUCGGAUGACCCCAAGUCAUGCCCUCCGGUUGCAUAG
rnacentral:rRNA from 1 species